rnacentral:rRNA from 1 species
UACGUAGGGCGCAAGCGUUGUCCGGAAUUAUUGGGCGUAAAGAGCUCGUAGGCGGUGUGUCGCGUCGGCCGUGAAAACCUGCAGCUUAACUGUGGGCUUGCGGUCGAUACGGGCAUCACUGGAGUUCGGCAGGGGAGACUGGAAUUCCUGGUGUAGCGGUGAAAUGCGCAGAUAUCAGGAGGAACACCGGUGGCGAAGGCAGCUCGCUGGGACGUUACUGACGCUGAGACGCGAAAGCGUGGGGAGCAAACAGG